rfam:Cucumis sativus cultivar 9930 Scaffold000098_1, whole genome shotgun sequence.
GGACGGUGACGAUUGUAUCUAAAGGUCUCGUUCGUCGUAACUGGCUGUGUGAAAUGGCCUUGACGACCAUCCUGAUAUAUCACCACCCAUAUUCUGAGUCC